rnacentral:rRNA from 1 species
UACAGAGGGUGCAAGCGUUGCUCGGAAUCAUUGGGCGUAAAGGGCAAGUAGGUGGUCUCAUUUGUCUUGUGUGAAAGCCUUGGGCUUAACCCAAGAAGUGCGCAAGAAACGGUGAGACUCGAGUACUGGAGAGGGUCGUGGAAUUCCCGGUGUAGCGGUGAAAUGCGUAGAGAUCGGGAGGAACACCAGAGGCGAAGGCGGCGACCUGGACAGUUACUGACGCUCAGGCACGAAAGCGUGGGUAGCAAACAGG